UGUCUGUUUGUCUGUUCGUCAAAUAAAAAUUUGUUAUCAUGUAGCGCUUUGAAUCUUUGUUGUAGAAUUUUCGUUUUUUAGCUGCAGCAAAAAUGGAAGAGGACGAGAAUUUAUGUAAAGUAGAAACGCGAGAUGGGGAUUUGUAUUUGUUUACUCAAUGGCUAGGGAAAGAACGGGCUGGAUUUGACAUUACUAUCACUGAUGGCUAUAAAAUAUGGAAAGCACAAGGUAGUGCCGUCGUUUGCGUCUAAUAAUGAACAGUCGUAAAUUGAAACAUUUUACUUGGCAUGCACAUAUGAAACUUUACAGUAUGUAAAACUCCCACUGACUGGCAGAGCAACUGAAACCUGCAAAUGCACAUUACAUUAAGCCUUCGAUAUUUAUAAAAG